rnacentral:rRNA from 1 species
UACGUAGGGGGCUAGCGUUGUCCGGAAUCAUUGGGCGUAAAGCGUGUGUAGGCGGGUCGUUAAGUGCCUUGUGAAAUCCCACAGCUCACCUGUGGAACUGCUUGGCAUACUGGCGAUCUUGAGCCACUUAGGGGCAACCGGAACAAACGGUGGAGCGGUGAAAUGCGUAGAUAUCGUUUGGAACGCCAAAGGUGAAAACAGACAGCUGGGAGUGUGCUGACGCUGAGACACGAAAGCCAGGGGAGCGAACGGG